CAAUAGCGUAUAUUUAAGUUGUUGCAGUUAAAAAGCUCGUAGUCGGAUUUUGGCUGAGAACGAACGGUCCGCCGUUAGGUGUGCACUGUUUGGUCUCAGCUUCCUGGUGAGGAGGUGUGCUUCACGGCCACUUAGUCGCCGUGGUUACUUUGAAAAAAUUAGAGUGUUCAAAGCGGGCUUACGCUUGAAUAUAUUAGCAUGGAAUAACACCAUAGGACUCCUGUCCUAUUUCGUUGGUCUCGGGACGGGAGUAAUGAUUAAGAGGAACAGUUGGGGGCAUUCGUAUUUCAUUGUCAGAGGUGAAAUUCUUGGAUUUAUGAAAGACGAACUUCUGCGAAAGCAUUUGCCAAGGAUGUUUUCAUUGA
rnacentral:rRNA from 1 species